ACGGGUGAGUAAUGCCUAGGAAUCUGCCUGGUAGUGGGGGGCAACGUUUCGAAAGGAACGCUAAUACCGCAUACGUCCUACGGGAGAAAGCAGGGGACCUUCGGGCCUUGCGCUAUCAGAUGAGCCUAGGUCGGAUUAGCUAGUUGGUGAGGUAAUGGCUCACCAAGGCGACGAUCCGUAACUGGUCUGAGAGGAUGAUCAGUCACACUGGAACUGAGACACGGUCCAGACUCCUACGGGAGGCAGCAGUGGGGAAUAUUGGACAAUGGGCGAAAGCCUGAUCCAGCCAUGCCGCGUGUGUGAAGAAGGUCUUCGGAUUGUAAAGCACUUUAAGUUGGGAGGAAGGGUUGAAGAUUAAUACUCUGCAAUUUUGACGUUACCGACAGAAUAAGCACCGGCUAACUCUGUGCCAGCAGCCGCGGUAAUACAGAGGGUGCAAGCGUUAAUCGGAAUUACUGGGCGUAAAGCGCGCGUAGGUGGUUUGUUAAGUUGGAUGUGAAAUCCCCGGGCUCAACCUGGGAACUGCAUCCAAAACUGGCAAGCUAGAGUAUGGUAGAGGGUGGUGGAAUUUCCUGUGUAGC
rnacentral:rRNA from 1 species